rnacentral:rRNA from 1 species
AGGAUCAUUAUUGAAUUUUGAAAGGGUUGUUGCUGAUCUUUUAGAUACGUGCACGCCUUGUUCCAAAUUUCUACACCUUGUGCACAUUUUGUAGACCGGUUUCAUUAGAAAUCGGUUUAUGUUUUAUUAUAUAUACACUUGUUUUAGAAUGUCAUAUAAUAAGCUUGUUAGCAAGCUUAACAAAUUUAAUACAACUUUCAACAACGGAUCUCUUGGCUCUCGCAUCGAUGAAGAACGCAGCGAAAUGCGAUAAGUAAUGUGAAUUGCAGAAUUCAGUGAAUCAUCGAAUCUUUGAACGCACCUUGCGCUCCUUGGUAUUCCGAGGAGCAUGCCUGUUUGAGUGUCAUUAAAUUCUCAACUUCAAUAAUUUGAAGUUUGGAUUUUGGGGGUAUUUGCUGGCUGUCAAUGUCGGCUCCUCUUAAAUGUAUUAGCUAUCCUUUGCGGAUAGGCUUUGGUUUGAUAAUAUCUAUGCCAUUGCCGUGAAGCAAAUGACAGCUUCCAACCGUCUUAAUUUUUGACAACUCUUUUAAUUUUGACCUCAAAUCAGGUAGGACUACCCGCUGAACUUAAGCAUAUCAAUAAGCGGAGGAAAAGAAACUAACAAGGAUUCCCCUAGUAACUGCGAGUGAAGCGGGAAAAGCUCAAAUUUAAAAUCUGAUGGUCUUAUGGCUGUCCGAGUUGUAAUCUAGAGAAGUGUUUUCCGCGCUGGACCGUGUACAAGUCUCUUGGAACAGAGCAUCAUAGAGGGUGAGAAUCCCGUCUUUAACACAGACUACCAGUGCUUAUGUGAUUCGCUCUCAAAGAGUCGAGUUGUUUGGGAAUGCAGCUCAAAAUGGGUGGUAAAUUCCAUCUAAAGCUAAAUAUUGGCGAGAGACCGAUAGCGAACAAGUACCGUGAGGGAAAGAUGAAAAGAACUUUGGAAAGAGAGUUAAACAGUACGUGAAAUUGUUGAAAGGGAAACGCUUGAAGUCAGUCAUGUUGGCCAGAAAUCAACCUUGUCUUUUGCUGGGUGUACUUUCUGGUUUUUACGGGUCAGCAUCAAUUUUGACUGUUGGAUAAAAGCUAAUCUUUNUUCAUCUUCGGAUGUGUAACCUUUGGUUGUAUACAACAGNNNNNAUUGAGGAACUCAGCACGCCGUAAAGGCCGGGUCCAUUGGACCACGUACGUGCUUA